GACGAACGCUGGCGGCGUGCUUAACACAUGCAAGUCGAACGGAAAGGCCCUGCUUGCAGGGUACUCGAGUGGCGAACGGGUGAGUAACACGUGGGUGAUCUGCCCUGCACUUCGGGAUAAGCCUGGGAAACUGGGUCUAAUACCGGAUAGGAGCCAUUUUUAGUGUGAUGGUUGGAAAGUUUUUUCGGUGUAGGAUGAGUUCGCGGCCUAUCAGCUUGUUGGUGGGGUAAUGGCCUACCAAGGCGGCGACGGGUAGCCGGCCUGAGAGGGUGGACGGCCACAUUGGGACUGAGAUACGGCCCAGACUCCUACGGGAGGCAGCAGUGGGGAAUAUUGCACAAUGGGCGCAAGCCUGAUGCAGCGACGCCGCGUGGGGGAUGACGGCCUUCGGGUUGUAAACUCCUUUCGCUAGGGACGAAGCUUUUUGUGACGGUACCUAGAUAAGAAGCACCGGCUAACUACGUG
rnacentral:rRNA from 1 species